rnacentral:rRNA from 1 species
UUCCGUGGCCAUAAUGGUUUGUUAACGCCUGAUCUUGUCUGAUCUCUGAAACUAAGCACGGCUGGGGCUGGUUAGUAUUUGGAUGGGAUAACACUGGGAAUAUCAAGUGCCACAGUCA